AUGAGUUUAGGUAAAAACAAAAAACAUAGAAUAAAAUUCAAACAAACAAGUUUAAAUAAAAAAAAACGCAAAGGUGAAAAACUAGGAGUGUAUAAUCUAAGCCCAUGAUGACGGGGAAUAGCAAUGAGGUUUAGGGGUGUGUGAACCAGGAAGGAAAUUUUCUUUAGCAGAACCUGGCCCAGGAAUUUAACCCAACGCCCCUUGGUUCAGAAAUUUGGGUUCUAUCAUAUGACCCCCACUUUUGCAUUGAACGUCCAGGACCUAGCCUCCCCUCCUUUGAACGAAACAAACAGAGAAGGGUUUGCCUCCCUGCUCGAGAGCGUUGUCGCCUCUGCUGAACCAGCUUCCACCGUACCAGCCUUAGUCAGCCGCCGCGCGUCGUGUCGGAGGAAACCGCGUGCACCGCCGCGCUGCACUCAGGAUCUUCGCCAGCCACAGUGUCGAGCUCCUCUCCUCUCUCUAUUCUGACUAGCGCAUGGAAGGGAAGUUUUCCUCUUGCUUGCCGCACGUUUCCGUCUUCAUCUGGCUCUGAAGGGCUUUUCUUGACUGUUGAUUUGAUUUGUUUGUGAUUUUGUUUCUAUUGUUCAAGGGGAUUAACUCUUUUGUUGGAGGCUUGAGAUAAACAAAGGUGUGACCGAUUGGGGAUCUGGGUUGGUUCUUUUCUUUGUAGAGAAGAGAAACGGCAUGUAGUAAAGAUCAAGACUGAUGAAGGUAUGUAUGUGGGAUAUCGGUUUGCAGGUUUGGGUUAUACACAGAGGGGAUUGGUUUCUAAUCGUUGAAAGUGGUAGAGCGCGUUUAUGUUGUCGGCAUGAAUGUAUAACAAACAAUGUGCAGAAGCAAAUCGUGUAUAUUGAGUGUUGAACAACAAAAAAACGAGAUAUGCAUACAACGCUCAGAAUAUUCAAUGGCAACUAUUCAUAAGCAUAUAGAGGCAUUAUAAAGGCAGGGUAAAAAGACAUUUUAACAAUGAUUGUGAAAUGAGUUUACUCGUUUACCACUUGGAGCUUCUACGGUUGCUAUGACAGGAUAUACGAAGUUAGUGAUGAAGGUCCGGAGUCAAGAGCUCUAUGUGAUGGUUCGGCGUUGAUGACGAGUCUUCGAUGUUUGGGGUUUUUGGUGGAUGAAACCUGGAUGCUGUUGAAGGUGAGGAAUUGGAAUUGAAAGGGAAAUGUGGUUGAGGUUAGAAUGUUAGGAUCGGUUUGGUAUCGUGGGAAAAUCUUGAGAAGGAUUCCGUUGAGUAGAGAGUAGUAGUCUCUAUGAGUGAUUCAAGGAGUUCAGUAUUGAAUGACCCCUGUCCCUUCCGGAAGUCAACCUUCUCUUGUUACCCCACCCGAGAGGAUCCAUUCCGAAUCUGCGAAAGCCACCACCUUUCUCAAACCCUAUUCCUCUUUGGUGCAUAGUCAGUGACAAAAACCAUGGUGCCCAGGGGUUCCUAACCAGAAAAGGGAAAUCGAUUGCGUGUAGAGGUACACGCCGUUGUGUGUUGCAGGAUAGAAAGCGCCGUAGGAAGGAAAGAGUGAAAGAAAAGACCGCCAAUCCAAAAAAAAUUCAAAGGAGAAA